ACAGCGGAACCUCUAGCCAACUGCCAACACUAUAAGGGAAACCCCUGGAGCAAGUACAGUAUACAUGACUGCCUGCCCUGCCCUCCAAAACACUGGUGCAAAGAGGGUGAUCCUACACCACACAUGUGUCCGCCUGGCUUUUACUCUGAUGGCAUAGUUGAUCACUAUGAUCACUACAAUUUUGUUUUGAUAUUUUGUUAUAUAAUGCAGAGACAUUCAUACAUUUUUGAAGGGAUAAUUCACCAAAAAAAUUAAAAUUCUCUCAUUUAUUUUCCCUCAUAUGAUUUUGUUCCAUGAAAAACACAAGGAGACAUUAGGCAGAAUGACAGCCUCAGCCACGUUUUACUCUCAUUGUAUAGAAAAGCAAAUGCAAUAAAAGUGAAUGGUGACUGAGGAUAUCAAUUCCUAACAUUCUGCCCAACAUGUUCUUUUGUGAUGAUCAGAACAAAGAAAGACAUACGGAUUUGGAAUAACAUGAGGGUGAAUAGAUGAUGACGGAAUUUUGAUUUUUGGUUGAAAUAUCCCUUUCUUACACCUACAGCUCACCACAGCUGUCACACAUGUUCCUCACCAACCUACAUUAACAAAUACACUUCAGAUAAACAAUGAUCCAAAUAAGGUGUCAACACUGUUUGGCAGAUGUACUUUUCCACAUUACUGCCCAGCCAGCAGCUCUGUCAUGCUGUCCUGUGCAGAUGGCUGGAUGCCGCUGAACAGCAGUGGACUGAGGAAGUCCAAGGAGAGCAGUUGUGUGCAAUGUGGAGCGGGUACCUAUCGGCCCAGUCUGUCCCCUCAACUCCAGUGCCUCCUGUGUCCACUAGGAUAUCUGUAUCCUCCAAGUCAGCACACACUGAUGGACUCCUAUGUGACUCUGAAAAUACAGUCAUCCUUUGACAUGCUAUGUGACAUGCUAUUCUUUUAUAAUAUUAUUAGAGCUGUCAAAAUUAAUGCGUUAACGCAUGCGAUUAAUUUAAAACAUUUAACACGUGCAUUUUUUAAAAAUUGCUAUUAACUAUUUUACCGUUAAUACGGCAUAAACCAGCAUAAACACUGGUUGGAAGAGCGGAACCUUUGCGAUGUGUUUGCCCGGAGUCAUUACAUUGACGGACACACCACAAACACGCACAUCAGUGAUUCAGUGUUAGUGAUCAAAUGAUGGGGAAAGGAUCUCUUAAUGUUUUGUUGUACAAAACAAACCUAGAUGGGACUUGUGAGAGUAAUCAAGUAUUUUUAAGCCUAAGUAAGGCACAUUUGAAUUAUUACAGAAUCACGCCAUGUCUUACUAUCACCAAAACACAGAAUGAGACGAUUUCUUCUGCAAACGCUUUUCAUGUGGAGUUCAAAGCGGUGCCUGAUGCUGAGUUUAAGAGAUUAAAGGCCAAUUGCAAUGAAUAUGAAACCUAUGUGGGCACUAGUUCAAUUAGUCAAACCCCCACCUAGACUUUGGGAAACAUUUAAUGUUACUUGGAUUGGUGCUAUUUUAGUGCAUUUCUGUCUUUAUACUGUGGAAGGCUUUGUUUGGAAAAUGUUAAUAAAGCAUCAUAUUGUUACA